UGUGACCUCAAAUCAGGUAGGACUACCCGCUGAACUUAAGCAUAUCAAUAAGCGGAGGAAAAGAAACUAACAAGGAUUCCCCUAGUAACUGCGAGUGAAGCGGGAAAAGCUCAAAUUUAAAAUCUGGCGGUCUUAUGGCUGUCCGAGUUGUAAUCUAGAGAAGUGUUAUCCGCGC
rnacentral:rRNA from 1 species